rnacentral:rRNA from 2 species
UAUAAUGGGUCAGCGACUUAUAUUCUGUAGCAAGGUUAACCGUAUAGGGGAGCCGCAGGGAAACCGAGUCUUAACUGGGCGUUAAGUUGCAGGGUAUAGACCCGAAACCCGGUGAUCUAGCCAUGGGCAGGUUGAAGGUUGGGUAACACUAACUGGAGGACCGAACCGACUAAUGUUGAAAAAUUAGCGGAUGACUUGUGGCUGGGGGUGAAAGGCCAAUCAAACCGGGAGAUAGCUGGUUCUCCCCGAAAGCUAUUUAGGUAGCGCCUCGUGAACUCAUCUUCGGGGGUAGAGCACUGUUUCGGCUAGGGGGUCAUCCCGACUUACCAACCCGAUGCAAACUACGAAUACCGAAGAAUGUUAUCACGGGAGACACACGGCGGGUGCUAACGUCCGUCGUGAAGAGGGAAACAACCCAGACCGCCAGCUAAGGUCCCAAAGUCAUGGUUAAGUGGGAAACGAUGUGGGAAGGCACAGACAGCCAGGAUGUUGGCUUAGAAGCAGCCAUCAUUUAAAGAAAGCGUAAUAGCUCACUGGUCGAGUCGGCCUGCGCGGAAGAUGUAACGGGGCUAAACCAUGCACCGAAGCUGCGGCAGCGACACUAUGUGUUGUUGGGUAGGGGAGCGUUCUGUAAGCCUGCGAAGGUGACCUGUGAGGGUUGCUGGAGGUAUCAGAAGUGCGAAUGCUGACAUAAGUAACGAUAAAGCGGGUGAAAAGCCCGCUCGCCGGAAGACCAAGGGUUCCUGUCCAACGUUAAUCGGGGCAGGGUGAGUCGACCCCUAAGGCGAGGCCGAAAGGCGUAGUCGAUGGGAAACAGGUUAAUAUUCCUGUACUUGGUGUUACUGCGAAGGGGGGACGGAGAAGGCUAUGUUAGCCGGGCGACGGUUGUCCCGGUUUAAGCAUGUAGGCUGGUUAUCCAGGCAAAUCCGGAUAAUCAAGGCUGAGGUGUGAUGACGAGGCACUACGGUGCUGAAGUAACAAAUGCCCUGCUUCCAGGAAAA